rnacentral:rRNA from 1 species
GAUGAACGCUGGCGGCGUGCCUAAUACAUGCAAGUCGAGCGAACAGACGAGGAGCUUGCUCCUCUGACGUUAGCGGCGGACGGGUGAGUAACACGUGGAUAACCUACCUAUAAGACUGGGAUAACUUCGGGAAACCGGAGCUAAUACCGGAUAAUAUAUUGAACCGCAUGGUUCAAUAGUGAAAGACGGUUUUGCUGUCACUUAUAGAUGGAUCCGCGCCGCAUUAGCUAGUUGGUAAGGUAACGGCUUACCAAGGCAACGAUGCGUAGCCGAACGGAGAGGGUGAUCGGCCACACUGGAACUGAGACACGGUCCAGACUCCUACGGGAGGCAGCAGUAGGGAAUCUUCCGCAAUGGGCGAAAGCCUGACGGAGCAACGCCGCGUGAGUGAUGAAGGUCUUCGGAUCGUAAAACUCUGUUAUUAGGGAAGAACAAAUGUGUAAGUAACUAUGCACGUCUUGACGGUACCUAAUCAGAAAGCCACGGCUAACUACGUGCCAGCCGCCGCCGUAA